rnacentral:rRNA from 1 species
UACGUAGGGUGCGAGCGUUAAUCGGAAUUACUGGGCGUAAAGCGUGCGCAGGCGGUUUUGUAAGCCAGAUGUGAAAUCCCCGGGCUUAACCUGGGAAUGGCAUUUGGGACUGCAAGGCUGGAGUGUGGCAGAGGAGACUGGAAUUCCUGGUGUAGCAGUGAAAUGCGUAGGUAUCAGGAGGAACACCGAUGGCGAAGGCAGGUCCCUGGGCUGACACUGACGCUCAUGCACGAAAGCGUGGGGAGCAAACAGG